rnacentral:rRNA from 1 species
GAUCAUGGCUCAGGAUGAACGCUAGCGACAGGCUUAACACAUGCAAGUCGAGGGCAGCAUAAAAGUAGCAAUACUUGGUGGCGACCGGCGCACGGGUGAGUAACGCGUAUGCAACCUACCUAUCAGAGGGGAAUAACCCGGCGAAAGUCGGACUAAUACCGCAUAAAACAGGGGCACCGCAUGGUGAUAUUUGUUAAAGAAAUUCGCUGAUAGAUGGGCAUGCGUUCCAUUAGGUAGUUGGUGAGGUAACGGCUCACCAAGCCGACGAUGGAUAGGGGAACUGAGAGGUUGGUCCCCCACACUGGUACUGAGACACGGACCAGACUCCUACGGGAGGCAGCAGUGAGGAAUAUUGGUCAAUGGGCGGGAGCCUGAACCAGCCAAGUCGCGUGAAGGAAGAAGGAUCUAUGGUUCGUAAACUUCUUUUGCAGGGGAAUAAAGUGCAGGACGUGUCCUGUUUUGUAUGUACCCUGAGAAUAAGGAUCGGCUAACUCCGUGCCAGCCGCCGC